rnacentral:lncRNA from 1 species
GCGCACGGAGGGAGGGUGGGCAGGGGGCGGGCGUGGAGCCGCCAGUAACAAUUACGUCUGGAUCCAAGCAAACAUGAGGCGGCUGCCAGCCCGGCGGCGGUGGCGGCAGUCCUGUUCGCCUCGACUGCGUUCAGGGGAGGCUGGCAACAGUUUCCUCCAGCGCCCAGGAUGCAGCGGGCAAAGGAGGUGAUGAAAGCGUCGGACGGCAGUCUCCUGGGCGACCCCAGGCGCACACCGCUGAGCAAGAAGGAGGGUGUCAAGUGGCAGAGGCCGAGGCUGACCCGCCAGGCUCUGAUGCGAUGCUGCCUGGUCAAGUGGAUCCUGUCCAGCGCGGCCCCGCAGGGCUCAGACAGCAGCGACAGUGAGCUGGAGCUGUCUGCCGUGCGCCACCAGCCUGAGGGGCUGGACCAGCUGCAGGCCCAGACCAAGUUCACCAAGAAGGAGCUGCAGUCCCUCUACAGGGGCUUCAAGAAUGAGUGCCCCACGGGCCUGGUGGAUGAAGACACGUUCAAACUCAUUUACUCACAGUUCUUCCCUCAGGGAGAUGCCACCACCUACGCACACUUCCUGUUCAAUGCCUUCGACGCUGACGGGAAUGGGGCCAUCCGCUUUGAGGACUUUGUGAUCGGUCUCUCCAUCCUCCUGCGAGGAACAGUCCAUGAGAAACUCAAGUGGGCCUUUAACCUCUACGACAUUAACAAGGAUGGCUACAUCACCAAAGAGGAGAUGCUGGCCAUCAUGAAGUCCAUCUAUGACAUGAUGGGCCGCCACACCUACCCCAUCCUGCGGGAGGACGCGCCCCUGGAGCACGUGGAGAGGUUCUUCCAGGACGAGAACAUCAUGAGCUCCAUGCAGCUGUUCGAGAAUGUCAUCUAGGACGCGUGGGGUGGGGGCAGGCAGGCCCUGAGUGGCUGUGGCCUCCUCUGCCCCACAGAAACCUCAAUCCUGCCAGGAGCAGCCUCCAUGAGAAACUUUUUUUCUAAUAUAUUUGCAAAAAGUGAAUAUUUUGCUCCAGACAACCCCACCCCACACAGACACAGACAGACACACACACACAGACACACACACACAGACACACACACACACACCUCCUUCCUCUGGGCUGGCAGAUGGCAGGGCAGAGGUUAGGGAGGGGCCGAGUCUGGCUGGGAGCUGGGUCCGGGUGAUGAGAGCCACACAGCCCCUGGCCACCCUGGGCCAGCCUCUGGGAGCUGCUCUGGACUUUUUUAGGGCCGCACAUGCUGCAUAUGGAAGUUCCUGGGCUAGGGGUCAAAUUGGAGCUGCAGCUGCUGGCCAGUGCCACAGCCACAGCCACAGCAGAUCCGAACUGCUUCUGUGACCUGCACUACAGCUCACAGCAAUGCUGGAUCCUUAACCCACUGAGCAAGGCCAGGGAUCGAACCUUCGUCCUCAUGGAUGCUAGUCAGGUUUGCUGGCACUCCCUGCCCUCUGACUACACUUCCAGAAUAGCCCUCAGCGCAGGACCCCAGAUGGACAGCUGGGGGUCAAGGGAAUUUGGCCCAGGGAGGAGGUGACUGGACAGAGUCUGCUUUCCUGGAAAUGCUUCCCUGGGUCCCAGGACAUCUGCCAGGCCACACAGCUGUGUGUGCCGGUGGGGAGCGGCCAGCGGGCUCUGUCCUCCUUCAUCCCAGGAAAGGGGCUUUCAAGCUGGGGUUGGGUUUUUUGAUGGAGAAUCUGAGGGGAACUCUGCUGACUCCACUGGAGGUGGGAAGAAGCCUUCCUUUGCCCAGGCUGGCUCCGUGGGGAUGCAUGCUUAGGGCUCCUCCAUCUGUCUUUCCUGUUGGCCCCUGUCACCCUCGGCCCAGCAGCUUGAAUGAGCCCCCUCCCCCCUUCCUGGUUGGGGUCCGGAAGCCGUGUGGCCGCCCCUCCACACAGGCUCACCUCAACCCCAUACAAAAAGCACAAGGGCCCUAGCAGCUCAGGCUGCAGCCCACGAGCGGACACUCUGCUCUUCAAGGCAAGGCCAUCCUGGUGGGCUGAGGCCUGCGUCCCACCAGCCCAGAUCAGGUGGCCCCAGGGUUCCUUGGGGGGUCAGUUCUGUGCCUCAGAGCAGUGGGGGACCCGAAGCCUACCGCCCACCCAGCCCAGCCCAGCCACCUUCAAAAGCACAAACCCUGGGGAUUCUGCUUGGCUGGAUUCUGCUCUUGAGGGCGAAGGCCAGUGUCAGUCUGAAGCUAGCGCCAGUGGGGGUCGAGGGGCUGUGGUCAGGUGGCAGGUCAACAGAAAUUUCCAAGACAGAGAGGCUGCUCCCACCUGGCCAGGUCGCCCCGGGAAGGAACCCAGUCUCAGGCCACAGGGGCCCUUCCCAGGAACAUUCCCAAAGCAAACAUUCCAUCGGCCGCUGCCCCAUCUCUGCUCAGUGAGCAGGGCNNNNNNNNNNNNNNNNNGCAGCGGAGGCCGUGGAGACUGGCCUGGCUCAGCCUUGGGGACCCCUUGGCACCCCCCUACGGGUGGUCCUCCCCCUUGGAGUGGCACCAACACCCAUCUCCAGUCUGACUGGGGGCUCCCUCUCCCCCCACUCCAGGAGGGCAUCAGCUUUCCCAGGCUCAGGGAAUCUUUUCCCACAUCCCUGCCCCCCACCCCCAGCCCAGCCCUCCCAGCUGGUGUGGCUUUGAUUCUAAGAGGCCAAGGCCACAUGAGAGGGUCACCACCAUGCCCUGCCCCAUGCCCUGCCCACCCCCUGACCUUGGGCCAGACUGGCUGCAGGUCCAGCAGAAAAGGCUGGGAUGCAGAGCAGCCUCAUGUCUGUAUGGCAGAAGUGUCUCCCUCGGGCGCGGCCUGUGGGGGUGGUUCCUGUUCUCAGCACCCACCAAUAUUCAGUCCUGUAUAUUUUAAUAAAAUAAACUUGACAAA